UCGGCGUCGGGCCUCGCCGACCAGUUGGUGUCGUGCGAGUCUGCCAUCGAGCCAAUGGCAGAGCAACGCGGCCCCUCCUGCUUUACUGCAGAUUUCCGAGGCUUGCAGCCCCGCAGCACCGCGAGUCUCUAAGCUGAAUUUUUUUUUGUAUAAAUGGACGCACAAGGUGGAGUACCUGCUCAACAAGGAGAAGAGAACAUGCAUAUCUGUCCCACUGCCUGCCUCAGAAGUUGCGGCCAAAUGGCUACAUGACUGGAGGGGAGAGGAGGCAAGAUGAUUAAACGGAUCAAAGCGGACACUCGGCAUAAUCUGACUGCAGUUUUAGAUCCAAUUUCCAUGAUGCAGAAUGCCAAGUAUAUCAUGGGAAGACUGGAAUGAUUUGAACAGGACCACAGUAAUGCCAUCCAACUGUAAAUCUGAUCACUGGACAACUAACUCUUCUACCUUCAUUUCAGAAAUGCAUUUUCCCUUGAUAACAGAAUCUAUAUAGCUUCUUUU